UACGGGGGGAGCAAGCGUUGUUCGGAAUCACUGGGCGUAAAGGGUGCGUAGGCGGGUCUUUAAGUCAGGGGUGAAAUCCUGGAGCUCAACUCCAGAACUGCCUUUGAUACUGAGGAUCUUGAGUUCGGGAGAGGUGAGUGGAACUGCGAGUGUAGAGGUGAAAUUCGUAGAUAUUCGCAAGAACACCAGUGGCGAAGGCGGCUCACUGGCCCGAUACUGACGCUGAGGCACGAAAGCGUGGGGAGCAAACGGG
rnacentral:rRNA from 1 species